UAAAAAACUAUGAUGGAGAUAAGUAAACAAAAUAUGCUUUCAGAGAAUUGGGCAUGGUGGAAACCAAUAAGCUAAAAUUGUUGAAAAUCACUCCUGAGUUGCAAACUGAAAAUAAAAGUAAGUUACGCCGGCACAGCCGUUAUCUAUAAUUAAGUAAUACUUUGGGUGGUACCGCGGCAAAUAGACGCCCCAUUA
rnacentral:ncRNA from 1 species